UUGAGCCGGAUGAUGCGAGGAGUGUCAAGUCCGGUUCUUAGGGGAGGGAGAUACGGUGACGUAUGCUCUGUUACCCGCCACUUUCACGUAUGGUAUGACAGGAGAGGUGCCCCGGGUAAUACAGUGCAUCGACUCUAC
rnacentral:ncRNA from 1 species